AACGAACGCUGGCGGCGCGCCCAAUACAUGCAAGUCGAGCGAGAAGACGUAGCAAUACGUUUGUAAAGCGGCGAACGGGUGAGGAAUACAUGGGUAACCUACCCUCGAGUGGGGAAGUAACUAGCCGAAAGGUUAGCUAAUACCGCGUACGCUCCUUGGACUUCGGUUCAGGGAGGAAAGCGAUAUCGUGGGUAUCGCGCUCUUGGAUGGGCUCAUGUCCUACCAGCUUGUUGGUGAGGAACGGCUCACCAAGGCUUCGACGGGUAGCUGGUCUGAGAGGACGAUCAGCCACACUGGCACUGCGACACGGGCCAGACUCCUACGGGAGGCAGCAGUAAGGAAUAUUGCGCAAUGGGCGAAAGCCUGACGCAGCGACGCCGCGUGGGGGAGUGAA
rnacentral:rRNA from 1 species